rnacentral:misc_RNA from 1 species
GUGAAUCAUCGAAUCUUUGAACGCAAAUUGCACUCUUCGGUUUUCCGGGAGAGUAUGCCUGUUUGAGGGUCAGCAUAAAAAAAUUCGAAUUUGUUGCUGUUUUAUGGUGACUUUCGUCGGAGAUGGGUUAUUUAAAAUCUCGGUUUAAGCGAAUUAAAAAUUUUUUUUAUGAUUCUAAGAUUGUUUCUAAGUUUCUGCUUGUAAGUUUAAGGUAUCGAAUGUCUUAUUAGACGUGGCUGUCAUAUUGGAUUGCGGCCAUUAUUUUUUUAGUUAA